AGAAUCAACGCUGGCGGCGUGCCUAACACAUGCAAGUCGAACGAGAAAGUGGAGCAAUCCAUGAGUAAAGUGGCGACCGGGUGAGUAACACGUGACUAACCUACCUUCGAGUGGGGGAUAACCUCGGGAAACCGAGGCUAAUACCGCAUAACAUCGCAAGAUCAAAGCAGCAAUGCGCUGGAAGAGGGGGUCGCGGCUGAUUAGCUAGUUGGCGGGGUAAUGGCCCACAAGGCGAAGAUCGGUAGCCGGCCUGAGAGGGCGCACGGCCACACUGGAACUGAAACACGGUCCAGACUCCUACGGGAGGCAGCAGUGGGGAAUUUUGCGCAAUGGGGGAAACCCUGACGCAGCAACGCCGCGUGGAGGAUGAAGCCCCUUGGGGUGUAAACUCCUUUCGACCAAGACGAUAAUGACGGUACUGGUGGAAGAAGCACCGGCUAACUCUGCGCCAGCAGCCGC
rnacentral:rRNA from 1 species